UGAGUGUUUUUUUGUUCAUUCGUAUUGAAAGAUUCAGGAUUUUCGGAAAAUGACCACAGAGAUUCAGG
rnacentral:tRNA from 1 species